AAAAAGGCUGAGAAAAGAAGAGUACAUCUUGGAUGGUUUUACAGAGAAUCUCCCAUAAAGCUGAGAGGGAGAAGAUUCAAAAAAGGUGGAAGAUGGUCUUGGAGCUGCGCACCGAGAGGGUUUACCUUUAGGCUGCGACGGGAGCGCCCGUGAUAGCGACGGAGUAUCGGCAGAAAAAUGUUGCCCGUACUUAUUGAGGCUGUAGCUGUGAAGCUAUGGUAAAUUAGGGUGGUAUCACGACGCGUAUGCUCUCGUCCCUUUG
rnacentral:ncRNA from 1 species